rnacentral:pre_miRNA from 1 species
AGCUUUUUGAAUCCGUGUAGAGAUUUCGUCAGACACCAACCCAAUAGGAUUGAUCGGACUUCCAAGAUAAAUGAAGCC